ACGACCAAUAUCCAAGUCAGUCGUGCAUGAUGAAUGCACAGGGAGGGGUGUAGAUUAUCUUUGAACGUCCUCUUCGAUUCCCCGUGUCUAUCUUCCGUUCUUCAAUCAUAAACGGAAUCUUGUUACUAGCCAAGGAGGGGUAGAAUUGCGCACACAGUUGUCACUGGACAUAGCAAUUAGGCUUUAUUUUUUCCGGAUAUACAAUCAAUGCAGUCAAAUUUGUUGGUCAAGUAAAUCCCCGAGGGUGCGUCUUUGCUCUGAAGGUUCUAGUAGGUGAACCACAGGUUUUUCGUUCAUUUGCAGGACCUGAGCAAGCAAGUUCUGGAGUAAGAUGCUGCAACAACCAAGUGGCAAUGAACGGUCGACUGAAGUCCAAUUUUGAAAGGAAUGCGUUGUUUCUCAUUCAUGCUGGUGCCAGACUUGAGUCUUUGGAGCCUUGAUCUAAACAUGGGACACUCUCUACGGUUAAAGGGAUAUCAGCGAGGGCAGCAGCAUAUCUGUACGCUUUACAAAAAGAGCGCAGAGUUAAGUAAUUAGUUUCUAGAUUUUGUGCAACAUAUGGAUAAUAAGUUAGAUCUAUGUGCAUCUAUCCAGAUAUCCUAGAAUAGAGUCCGACUUCGGAAAGCCGCUUACGUAUACUCAGUGUUACACCAUUGCGUUAAUGUGCAGAAAGUGCAUACUCAAAUGGUUUUUUUCCUUUUCCUCCGAAGCUGAAUGCAUGUGGCGACAGAGGGCAAGCCUUCACGUUUGUGGUAGACGAUCCUUGAAGGCAACAGGUCAAGCUGAGUGAGAAUCACAACUAUAUCUCCUUGACUUGGAUUAGCAACCAUCAAUGACCUAAUUAGGGUUUUCAACCUUACAUGCAAAAAUGUACUGGGUUCGGACCCCCUUGACGUCAACUUCGUCCUGUGAUCGCACUCCAGAACGGCAACCAUAAUUGGGUUUUCUUGGUCGGGCAGUGCAUCCGACCGAGAACCAUGAAUCGUAUACUUUUUGCUGCAGGCUAAGGCUGUAGGGACCAAUGCAGCACCUUGUCCAGUAGCACAUGUGAAGUAUACUUCGGCAGGCUCAACAAGGAUUCACCUAAAAUGGCUUGAUGGGUCAUUCAAGAUUUCACCACCCAAUUGCUCAUAGGAAUUUUUACAGCGAAAAAAGAUGGCAGCUGCAACAUUCAACCACUCGGCACCUGAGGACGUUAGUGUUGAUACUCUUAUAUCUUCUGUUGUUUCUCUCAACUCUGCAUGUAAUUCCCCCAUUGCAAGCUUCGAAGCUCUGUAAUUUACAUUCCUGGGGAGAUUGUCUUAUCCACGCAAUUUUUUAGCACUCUAGCAAAGCUUUUUGUUCGCUUCUCGCACGCCAUUUCCAUCAUCUUGUGGCAUUCUAGGGUUGGGGCGGAGAUUCUGAUGCUCGAUUGGGGCUUUUUUUUGUCUGCUCUGUAUCUUAAUUUGGAACUUAGCAGUGAACCUCAUUGAUCAUUCAUGGUGUGAACUACAGCCUUUUCGAAGGCAAUGAUAAAUUUCUUUGUGUAUUUGGUUGAUUUUUUUAAUUUUAAAAUUCGCUUUUUGGGUUC